rnacentral:rRNA from 1 species
CCCGCUGAACUUAAGCAUAUCAAUAAGCGGAGGAAAAGAAACCAACAGGGAUUACCUCAGUGACGGCGAGUGAAGCGGUAACAGCUCAAAUUUGAAAGCCGCCAACGGGCCGCGUUUACACACAAAGAAGCUGCUUUGGGUGUCGGCCCGGUCUAUGUUCCUUGGAACAGGGACGUCAUAGAGGGUGAGAAUCCCGUAUGUGAUCGGUGCCGUUGCCCGUGUAAAGCGCUUUCGACGAGUCGAGUUGUUUGGGAAUGCAGCUCAAAAUGGGUGGUAAAUUUCAUCUAAAGCUAAAUAUUGGCCAGAGACCGAUAGCGCACAAGUAGAGUGAUCGAAAGAUGAAAAGCACUUUGGAAAGAGAGUUAAACAGUACGUGAAAUUGUUGAAAGGGAAGCGCUUGCAACCAGACUUGCGGGCGGUCGAUCAUCCGAGGUUCUCCCCGGUGCACUCGAUCGUUCUCAGGCCAGCAUCGGUUUCCGGGGUGGGAUAAAGGCGGUGGGAAUGUGGCUCUUCGGAGUGUUAUAGCCCACCGUGCAAUGCCGCCACUGGGGACCGAGGACCGCGCUUCGGCUAGGAUGCUGGCGUAAUGGUUGUAAGCGACCCGUCUUGAAACACGG